UACGUAGGGCGCAAGCGUUGUCCGGAAUUAUUGGGCGUAAAGAGCUCGUAGGCGGUUCGUCGCGUCGGCUGUGAAAUCCCGAGGCUCAACCUCGGGUCUGCAGUCGAUACGGGCGGACUGGAGUUCGGCAGGGGAGACUGGAAUUCCUGGUGUAGCGGUGAAAUGCGCAGAUAUCAGGAGGAACACCGGUGGCGAAGGCGGGUCUCUGGACAGUUCCUGACGCUGAGGCACGAAGGCCAGGGGAGCAAACGGG
rnacentral:rRNA from 1 species